rnacentral:rRNA from 1 species
UCGGGAAUUUUGGGCAAUGGGCGCAAGCCUGAUGACGCAACGCCGCGUGGGGGAUGAAGGUCUUCGGAUCGUAAACCCCUGUCGAAUGGGACGAAAGACUCGCGAGUGAAUACUUCGCGAGAGUGACGGUACCGUUAAAGGAAGCCACGGCUAACUCUGUGCCAGCAGCCGCGGUAAUACAGAGGUGGCAAGCGUUGUUCGGAAUUACUGGGCGUAAAGGGCGCGUAGGCGGCCCUCUAAGUCAGACGUGAAAUCCCCCGGCUUAACCUGGGAACUGCGUCUGAUACUGGAGGGCUUGAGUAUGGGAGAGGGAUGUAGAAUUCCAGGUGUAGCGGUGAAAUGCGUAGAUAUCUGGAGGAAUACCGGUGGCGAAGGCGGCAUCCUGGACCAUUACUGACGCUGAGGCGCGAAAGCUAGGGGAGCAAACGGGAUUAGAUACCCCCGUAGUCCCUGAGCGGGCUGGCAAGGCGCAU